CCUACGGGGGGCAGCAGUGGGGAAUAUUGCACAAUGGGGGAAACCCUGAUGCAGCGACGCCGCGUGGGUGAAGAAGUACUUCGUUAUGUAAAGCUCUAUCAGCAGGGAAGAAAAUGACGGUACCUGACGAAUAAGCCACGGCUAACUACGUGCCAGCAGCCGCGGUAAUACGUAGGUGGCAAGCGUUGUCCGGAUUUACUGGGUGUAAAGGGCGUGUAGCCGGGUUGACAAGUCAGAUGUGAAAGCCUGCGGCUUAACCGGAGAACUGCAUUUGAAACUGUGGAUCGUGAGUACUGGAGAGGCAGACGGAAUUCCAAGUGUAGCGGUGAAAUGCGUAGAUAUUAGGAGGAACACCAGUGGCGAAGGCGGUCUGCUGGACAGCAACUGACGGUGAGGCGCGAAAGCGUGGGGAGCAAACAGGAUUAGAUACCCGGGUAGUC
rnacentral:rRNA from 1 species